UACGUAGGGAGCAAGCGUUGUCCGGAAUCAUUGGGCGUAAAGCGCGCGUAGGUGGCUUCGUAAGUCCGUUGUGAAAGUCAAAGGCUCAACCUUUGAAAGCCGAUGGAUACUGCGGAGCUAGAGUACGGAAGAGGCGAGUGGAAUUCCUGGUGUAGCGGUGGAAUGCGCAGAUAUCAGGAGGAACACCAAUAGCGAAGGCAGCUCGCUGGGACGUUACUGACACUGAGGCGCGAAAGCGUGGGGAGCGAAC
rnacentral:rRNA from 1 species